CUACGGGAGGCAGCAGUGGGGAAUAUUGCACAAUGGGGGAAACCCUGAUGCAGCGACGCCGCGUGAGCGAAGAAGGCUUUCGGGUCGUAAAGCUCUGUCCUAAGGGAAGAUAAUGACGGUACCUUAGGAGGAAGCCCCGGCUAACUACGUGCCAGCAGCCGCGGUAAUACGUAGGGGGCGAGCGUUAUCCGGAAUUAUUGGGCGUAAAGGGUUCGCAGGUGGUCUAAUAAGUCAGGUGUGAAAGGCAGUGGCUCAACCAUUGUAAGCACUUGAAACUGUUAGACUUGAGUACAGGAGAGGAAAGCGGAAUUCCUAGUGUAGCGGUGAAAUGCGUAGAUAUUAGGAGGAACACCAGUGGCGAAGGCGGCUUUCUGGACUGUAACUGACACUGAGGAACGAAAGCGUGGGGAGCAAACAGGAUUAGAAACCCUGGUAGUCC
rnacentral:rRNA from 1 species